UACAGAGGUCUCAAGCGUUGUUCGGAUUCAUUGGGCGUAAAGGGUGCGUAGGUGGCGGGGUAAGUCAGGUGUGAAAUCUCGAGGCUCAACCUCGAAACUGCACUUGAUACUGCCUUGCUCGAAUACUGGAGAGGAGAUUGGAAUUUACGGUGUAGCAGUGAAAUGCGUAGAUAUCGUAAGGAAGACCAGUGGCGAAGGCGAAUCUCUGGACAUUUCCUGACGCUGAGGCACGAAAGCCAGGGGAGCAAACGGG
rnacentral:rRNA from 1 species